AACAGAGCAACACUGAGCGCUUCACUGGCUCCUCUUAAAGGAGACUCGCUCUUUUUUUUCCUAAAUAGCUACACAGACAGUUUUCUAACUAAGCAUUGCCUGAGUAAAUUUGAACAUUAUCAAUAAGAAUCCACACAGCCUCAGCAAAAAGGAAGGCAAAUGCCUUAGCAUAGGCUUGAUGGAGUGAUGCUUGUUUGCAGAAGAACAAAAUGCCUCAUAGCCAGGGCUGGAAGCAGAUUUUAUGAUGCCCUAGGAGAAGCAGAAAAUGUCUCACCGAAACCACAGAGGCUUGGAGGCAGUUGUUUUAUAUCUAUUGCAUGGAAGAGCUGCCUCCUUCAUGUUUCAAGCACAAUGUUACACGAUAUUUUUUCGUAGAGCAGUCAUGGUUCCUCCUUGGAGUUUCUAUCAUAAUUUUAAACAGAUGUUAGAUCUUAGAGUGGGUGUGUGGGGCUUAGAGCAUGAUAUUACACAGAUAUUGGUUCAAAAACCAAAGACUGAGGGGGGGACUGACUAGAACUAAAACUGGUAAACACAGCAAAAAUGAAAAAAGUUUACAGUGUUUCUUCCUUCUAUGUACGCGUUCUUCCAAAGCCUAGUUACAUUAAUGCUAAUAAACUGAUUAGUUUAUUUCAAAUAAAUGGUUAUUAAAUUAU